UCCCUGGUGGCUUAGUGGUAAAGAAUCUGCCUGCCAAUGCAGGAGACAUGGGUUUGAUCCCUGAUCCGGGAA
rfam:TPA: Bos taurus chromosome 20, whole genome shotgun sequence.